rnacentral:rRNA from 1 species
AACGAACGCUGGCGGCAGGCCUAACACAUGCAAGUCGAGCGGACCUUUCGGGGUCAUCGGCGGACGGGUGAGUAACGCGUGGGAAUAUGCCCUUCUCUACGGAAUACUCCUGGGACACUGGUGGUAAUACCGUAUACGCCCUUUGGGGGAAAGAUUUAUCGGGGAAGGAUUAGCACGCGUUGGAUUAGGUAGUUGGUGGGGUAAUGGCCUACCAAGCCGACGAUCCAUAGCUGGUUUGAGAGAUGAUCAGCCACACUGGGACUGGGACACGGCCCAGACUCCUACGGGAGGCAGCAGUGGGGAAUCUUAGACAAUGGGGGCAACCCUGAUCUAGCCAGGCCGCGUGAGUGAUGAAGGCGUUAGGGUUGUAAAGCUCUUUCAGCUGGGAAGAUAAGGACGGAACCAGCAGAAGAAGCCCCGGCUAACUCCGU